GGCCGCGCGGUUCUCGGGGCCGACACCGUGCCGCUCUACGACGGCGGCCUCCCUCACGGCGGUUCGAAGCCGCCGCGCCCC
rnacentral:tRNA from 1 species